rnacentral:lncRNA from 1 species
AUUUAAAGGAUUUUGGGGGUGCUGGAACCCCCUAAUUGGAGACCCCCUCCCCAAAUUUCUCCCCCCCCUCCCCCCCCAGGGCAGCAGCUCCGGGAGCUCCCCCGGCCCGGCCCGAGCCCCGCAGCGCCCGAGGAGGGGUACGGGGGGAUUUGGGGGGUCCGGGGGGAUUUGGGGGGUCCGGGGGGAUUUGGGGGGUACGAGGGGAUUUGGGGGGAUUUGGGGGGAUUUGGGGGAUUUAGGGGGGUUUGGGGGGAUUUGGGGGGAUUUGGGUGGGGUUUGGAGGGAUUUGGGGGGAUUUGGGGGGAUUUGGGGGGAUUUGGGUGGGCUUGGGGGAUUAGGGGAGGAUUUGGGGGGGUUAGAGGGGAUUAGGGUGGGGUUUGGGGGAUUGGGGGGAAUUUGGGGGGAUUUGGGGGGGUCUGGGGGGUCUGGGGGGGUCCGGGGGGGUCCGGGGGAAUUUGGGGGGGUCUGGGGGGUCCGGGGGGGUCCGGGGGGAUUUGGGGGGUCCGGGGGGAUUUGGGGGGGUCCCCAUGAGGGUCCCACCCCGCUGCCCCCGCAGCUCUCAGCGGCUCUCGGAGAAAGUGGCGCAGCUCGAGGCGGCGCUGAGGCGGCUGCAGGAGGGUCACGAGGAGCAGCAGCAGCUCCGGGCUGAGCUGCGGCGGCUGCGGCGGGACCAGGAGGACACCGAGGGGCGGCACCGGGUCGAGAGACCCCCGGGGACCCCCGGAGAGACCCUGACCCCCGGAGAGACCCCCUGACCCCCCCGGGACCCCCGACAGCCCCUGAGCCCCCCCCCCGGGACCCCCUGACCCCCCCGGGGACCCCCGAGGGACCCCCGGGACCCCCGGAGAGACCCUGACCCCCCCUCGGGGACCCCCCAACUGUGAAACUGAAGCUGUGACACCCCCCCGUGCCCCCCUCCCCCACCCCGGCGUGUGACACUGGAACCCCCCCGUGUGUCCCCCCCCAAAAAAGUGACACUGGAACCCCCCCGGCAAUAAAAACCCAGUUCAUCCCAGUUCAUCCCAGUUCAUCCCAGUGCUCCCAGUAUAUCCCAGUCCAUCCCAGUUCAUCCCAGUUCAUCCCAGUACAUCCCAGUUCAUCCCAGUUCAUCCCAGUUCAUCCCAGUGCUCCCAGUUCAUCCCAGUUCAUCCCAGUUCAUCCCAGUCCAUCCCAGUUCAUCCCAGUGCUCCCAGUUCAUCCCAGUGCUCCCAGUUCAUCCCAGUUCAUCCCAGUUCAUCCCAGUGGUCCCAGUUCAUCCCAGUAUAUCCCAGUAUAUCCCAGUGCUCCCAGUUCAUCCCAGUUCACCCCAGUGCUCCCAGUCCAUCCCAGUAUAUCCCAGUUCAUCCCAGUCCAUCCCAGUCCAUCCCAGUCCAUCCCAGUAUAUCCCAGUUCAUCCCAGUCCAUCCCAGUCCAUCCCAGUCCAUCCCAGUCCCUCCCAGUCCAUCCCAGUCCCUCCCAGUCCAUCCCAGUGCUCCCAGUCCGGG